rnacentral:rRNA from 1 species
CAAUAGCGUAUAUUAAAGCUGUUGCAGUUAAAAAGCUCGUAGUUGGAUUUCGGGGCAGCCUGGCUGGUCCGCCGCAAGGCGAGUACUGGUCAGCCGCCCUUCCUCUCGAAAGCCCCGACUGCUCUUCGUUGCAGUGGUCGGGUAGUUCGGGACGUUUACUUUGAAAAAAUUAGAGUGUUCAAGGCAGGCCUACGCCUGAAUACAUUAGCAUGGAAUAAUGGAAGAGGACCUCGGUCCUAUUUUGUUGGUUUCCAGGGCCGAAGUAAUGAUUAAGAGGGACAGUUGGGGGCAUUCGUAUUUAAUUGUCAGAGGUGAAAUUCUCGGAUUUAUGAAAGACGAACAACUGCGAAAGCAUUUGCCAAGGAUGUUUUCAUUAA